rnacentral:misc_RNA from 1 species
GCUGAGGGCCGUCAGGACGAACACGCGAGGCAGGAUGAUGGUGGCCAGUGAGACAUCGCUGGCAAUCGUCAUUUCGAAGGUGCCAUCCCAUUUUUCACGUUCAACCACGCCGCUCGCCACGAGGUUGCCCAUUUGGGACACCGUCAAAAGGAGUGAAGCGACAACCCCAUAACGGACGAGGUCAUGCCGCCCUGAAUGGGCUAUGACGGCCAGAAAGACGAGUGCAAAUAUGGACUGCGUGAAGAUCGGGAUUAGGUCCUGGAAGUUGUGCCUGGUCAUCCAGAACUGCGCCACGGCGGAGGCACGCAUCACGCCCAGGGCUGACCGCCAGUCUCCAA